CAGGCGCAGGCGGGCUCUGGCGGCCGCUGUCAGCGCGGGGCCGCCGGCGGCUCGGCUUCUCCUCCUCCGGCAACGUAAAGCUUUGCCAGUCAGGUAGCCUUUAUGUCGCAGUGAGCUCUCAGCUUCAGGGUCCCCCGUUUUAAAAGUCACACAAAAGGGAAAUGAAGAAGUGGCCUGAGUCAGCACAGAUCAUGGAGCAGGAAACUGAGCACCUGCUGCCCAUUUUCCUAAAAUGGAAAGGAAGAGAGGUUGAUUAACCUGAACAGGACGCUUCCAAAUUUUUUGGUCUGAGCAACUGGAAGGAUAGAGUUGCCAUGAACUGAAGUGGAAAAUAGUGCACGACCUCAAAGGAUACCAUCCAUAUCGAUAGUUUAUGUGAAGGGAGCAAGAAUUCGUGUUCCCUUUAAGGUUCAUCUAGCUAGAGUGAGAAUCAAAUUGAGAUGAGGAGACAUCUCAGGGUUGUGAGAUGGAACCUCCUGUUGGGCUCCGCAGUGGGCAUAGAGCCUGUUUAAGAUUCUCUCCCUCCCUCUACCCCUCCCUGACUCUAAAAAACAAACAAAUUGACAUGUGACAUAUUAAUAGGAAAGAAUUAAAUUUAGUAGCAUACGUAGAAGGAAUCCAUACAGACAUGGAAAUUCCAAAGACAGGCAAAAUGAAAGAUACAAAUAUUGUUAUGAAAUAAGGAGAAGAUGUUAAGAGUCUUAGUCUUCAAAGGGAAGGAAUGCAUUUUCAGGAAGAAUGAAAAAGAGUAAAUAUUUGGUAAACGAGUGUUUCCUGGGCUACUGAGAAACAAUACAACGAAGAGAGGACUUUAAUCAAACAGGCCGCACUUAGUUCGUAUUGUAAUGUAGUUACUUCUAUCUCAAUCCUUUUAGGCAGCUGUGGGUUAGCUAAAGAGCUUUUUCUGAACCAGCUGUGUUUGGAAUACUUUUUAACUCAAAAUAACCUUAAUGCCUAAAGUGGCCCAUUUUGGGGCAGCCUGCCCUUGGCCCCCAACAAAAGUACACUGGGGAGCCCACAGGAUUCACAUAGAUACUCCGUGGCCACACUCCUUGGAAGUGCACAACAUGACAGCUCUGCACCUGGAGCAGUAUUUUGGGGGAUAAUCAGCAUUUUGGUUUUGGAUGUGUUAAGGUUGAGACAAUGAGUAGGCAGUUGACCAGAAUGGUUGAGUACUCAUUACGUAAGCCAAGUGCUGUGCUGGCCGCUGGAGGUGCCGUGAUGAACAAGAACCCUGACCUCAAGGAACUUUCAUGUGAGCUGGGGAGACACCUGUCAUUAAUCAAAGAAUAAAAACAACAAAAAAGUUAAAUUACAAUUGUGACAGUUACUAAGAAGAAGAUGCAGAAGGAAGAGUUUUCUCAGUAGAGAGAAUUGUGUGUGCAAAAGUUAUAGGAGCUGCGGAAAUGUGGCGAGGAGAGUGGUUGAAAAAAGGUGGAAGUGCGUAGGGAUCCUGAGAAGGACCAUGGGAGAAAUGAGGCAGAAAGGUCCAGGGGAGCAGGAUGGGUGAUACAGGAUCUCUCAAGCUAUGUUAGCU